CUGUACAGCCUGAUCAAGUUCAAACGUCUAACGUCGAUAUAGAAUAGCGGAUCCAGACUAGGUUUGAUCCUUUUCAAAGCCGUAUCAGACUCCGACCACUGCUCACUCCACCGCUCAUAGAUUUUACUUUUCACGAGUCCACGCCGUGCAGUAGAUGACAUACUCGUGAAGUCAAUAUUCUCCAAUUGGAGGUGGUUUAAUACCUCUCUAGCCCUAACACCUAACGAUCUACAUCUGUAUAGACGAGCAAUGGUAGUCGCAUCAGUAAGGGAUCUAAAAUUUGGAUGUUUAUCAUCUAACCUUACUUUUAUAUAGUAGUUUGCAACAAUCUGUUUCCGGCGAAGAGCUAGAGGGGGAAUAUUUGCCUCGACGUAGAGCGAUGGAACUGGACUUGUUGGAUAUGCUCCCAAAGAAUAUCGAAUAGCCAGGUUCUGAAUCUUAUCAAGUUCCCCAAGCAAAGCAUUAUUGCCACACGUAGAGUACGCUGCACAUCCAUAAUCCAUCCUUGAUAGGAUGAGGGCCUUAUAUAUAUCCAGUAGGGUCUUAGGGUGAGCUCCCCACCUAUGAUGAGCGAGAACUCUGAUGAUGUUCAGCGAUUUUCUACAUGUAGCAGUAACAUUAUUUAAAUGCUUUGACCACCGUAAUUCCCUGUCAAAGGUAAGCCCGAGAAACUUGACUUCCUGAACAACACUGAUUACACGAUCAUUCAUUAGUAGCACAGGAUCAUAGUGCGGUCUACGGAGUCGGCAAAAGUGGACAGCCUUUGUCUUUUCCUCCGACAGCACAAACCCGACCGCAUUGGCGUUACUACAGAUUUUGUUUAUGGCCACUUGUAGACUUCGAGUUAUUGCACCGACCGUCUUACCAGAACAACAAACCAUUAAAUCAUCAACAUACAAACAUUUAUCAAUCAUCCCCUCAACACCUUUAGCUAUUUCGUUUAUGGCGAUGCCAAACAGGGAACAGCUAAGUGUUGACCCCUGCGGCACACCAUUUUCUAAAACAUACUCUUUUGAGUGGAUGUCACCGAUUCUUACAACAAACUUUCUGUUCUCUAGAAAGGAUUGUAUAAAUUUUGGUAACUUCCCUCGAAGAUUGUAUUUAUACAUAUUCUGCAAUAUUCCAUAUCACCAAGUCAUGUCGUAAGCGCCCUUUAUAUCAAAGAAAACCGCAAGCAGGUGUUCACCACUGUCAAAUGCACUCAGAAUUCUAUCGGUCAAUUUGACCAAAUGGUCAGCCGUUGCCCGUCCCUUCCGAAAACCCGUUUGAUAAGUUUUCCCAAGCAAGACGUUAAACUAAUUGGGCGAUAACUUUGUGCCAGCAACGGAUCUUUUCCAGGUUUCGGUAUAGGAAUGACAACGGCCUGUUUCCAUUCCGAGGGGAGUACAGUGAUGAAACAUCUGGUUGUGGAUUUCGUCUUCUCCCGGUGAACAUGACUUGGUGUUACGGAUAGCGAUAUUCAACUCUUCUAAGACGACCACCACGGAACCAUUUUUGUUUUAUUGCCAGGUUUGGAUUUUGGAAUACUGGCGUUCGCAGCGUCUAAUAUAGCAGAUGUAAGAGUUUUUAAACUUAAGCUAUCUAGGGCUGGAGGGACGAACUUACUUGCAAAAAGUUCCCAAUCUGCUUGUGGGAUCUUAAAUCUAGCCACUGAUCUUAUCGUGGGAUUUUUGCCUCUAACAGAAAUGAUUAUGGGAAAAUGAUCGCUGUGAUGGAGAUCAGUUUCCACCUCCCAUUCAAAAUUACAGUAUAUAUUUGGAGAACAUAUAGAAAGAUCAAUUGCGUCGAAUG